ACCGCGUCUCUUCUAAGUGGUGCAGGUCCCCAACCCCCACGGCCCACCACACAAACCCUAGCCUCCCACGCCCCGCAGCGCCGCACUCCCUCCACCUCCUCCGUCCUUCCUCGUCAGCCGCCGCCGCCACUGUUCCGCCUCGCUCCUCUCUAUCCGACAACCACACCACCGCGAGGAAGCCGCCGCGCAAGUGGUCAGGGGACGGCCGCCACCGUGGGCCAGGAGACGCCCAUUGGCGAGCCUCUGGGCAGGAAGCCGACGCGGAGGACGCAACAAGCUGCCAGGGUCUUCUCGCUAGAAGGUGGAGGAGUAGAGGAUCCCCGGAUCCGAGGCGUGCGGCGCGGCGGUGAGCGUCUCCGGCAGCGGUGGUGGCCUACGGGCAAAUGGUGAUGGCUGGGGUGCUAGAUUCGAUCCAGCGCUAGGAAGGGAGGUAGAGGAACGAUGGGGAAGGGGAUGGGCAAGAGCUUCAUGCCCUGAAUCUAGUCGCCCCGGGCCGUGCCUACAUGAGCAGCGCCGCGGCUCGAUGCUUCCCCGCCCAACGAGGAUGACAAGCUAGGUGUUGACAAUGGCAGCCCCAGGCCAUCCGAUCUGUCACCGGCGCCAUUCUUUUGGUCGAGGUAGCCGUGGUCCACGUGGUCCUCGUCAUCCCCACGGCUGGACGCUGGCGAGGCCAACCUCCCCUGCAAGCGUGGGUACUUCCCCGCUCCUUCCCGUGCUAUCUCUCUUCCCCUGAUAUAUCUCUCUAUUGUAAAGGGAAGCAAAUUUGUACAAUUCUCAGUCUAGAUUUAAUGAAGAAAACUGCGUUUCAUACAACGCCAAUGGAUAUGGAUCCAUCUUGCUGCGCUGGAUAUGGACCCAUCUUGUUCAUACAAUGCUAAUUAUGGAUAUGGAUCCAUCUAAUACAGUUCUUCACAAAUCCCAAGAAUCGCAAGGGUUCAAUUGCUUCCGGGGUCAUACUUUUCCUGGUCCUUAUUGGUUGGCCUGUCUUCGACAUGAUGGCUAAGUCGUAUGGCUUUGCCCUGCUAUUCUGGUUAUCCUCUAUUGUGCAUUAAUACUUCUGAUGUCUGUUUUUCAGUGUGCAUUAAGAAAUGGUAGAAACUUUUGGGUAUUGUAUCUGACUGGUACUGAAUUUCCUCACAGCAGCUUCUGGCCUGCUGCUGUUGUUUACCUGCAAAAAAACCCACCAUCGGUUGGAUUUUCUAGCACCCUUAUGUGAUAUCGGUAAGAUCAUACUUGGGGCAUUGUUGUUGCUGAGCUUCCUAAAUUUUCUUUGAGUCCAGCCCAGUUUGGUCGCCACUUUAUUUAUAUGGUCUUGUUCUUGCGAGGGAUUGUUUUUAUCAAGAUUGAUGAACUAUAUGACUGGAUCCCAGCCCCCAUUGUUCUUACUGUUGUUUCCUACUUCUGUAAUUAACCUUUACUUAGUGAUGUUAGGUCUUUAGCAUAACACUCCAAAUAUAUUUAAGCUAAUAUGGAUACCCUUAGAUGACUGACCCUGUAAUUAACCUUAUUCAGUUUAUGAACAUAUAUGUAUGCUACAGAGCAUGAAAUUGGGAAAAUACAAAUAUGAUUGGUGGUUGGUUCACCAUUUAAAAAUUUGAUCCACCAAUUGUGUCUCAGUGAUUCCUACUUGAGCUAAAACCACGCCAAUAAUUUUGGAACGAUGGAGUACUUAUUUGUUGUUGUGUAUUUGAUGGUUUCACAAAAAUAUCAUGAAGGUUAAAUCGGGCAUGGUUUUGAUAUAUUUUUGUUACAAGAUAUUACAUCGGCUUUCUGGUUUGAAAAUACUUAUAAUCGUUUUCUUCUAACUGCAUGUGAGCCCACACUUUUGUAGACUACUUAGGAUAGAGAUGAUAUGAAUGUGUGCAACAAAAUUCUUUACUCGGGAUGGCUUGGUAGGUCUCUCGACUAUUCAGUUUCAUCCGUAGGAUUAAAAUUUCUUCAACUUGCUCUCCUCCAACCUUCAGUUACUUUAAAAUCGUUGUAUUGACAAGUAGAAACAGUAGCUUGUUUGAAUUAUGCAAAGUUCAUCCAUGUAACAGUUGCCUCUUAAAGACUGCUGACAAAGUGCAAAUUUGAUAUAAUUUUGCUGAUGAUGCAAAAUGAUCGUACACUGAAACCGAAGCCUUUGGAAUUGAAACACAAACCUUACUUAAGAGCAGGCAGAGGCGCAGAGCCAACGGUAUGCUCUUGGAUCAAUAUUCCACAGGUUAAACAACAUUCAUAUGUUCUAGCAUCUUUAGAUUUACAUUUUCUUUUUAACAGUCUAAUUACUCCAUGUAAAAACUGCAUCCAUUUUGGUAUGUGAUACUACAAGUGUAAAUUAAGAAAGUAGCCUUCACGGUCUAGCUUCAGCAUCUGUAAAUCAUGGAUAUGUACAUAGUACAUAAAAAUGGAGCAUCCUUACUCGAUUGCGUUCUUCUAUUUUACAGGUGAUGUUGUUGCCUGGUCUGCUAAAUUGCCGCUUGUUUAUCGUUUGUUGUUUUGCUUAUCAAGGUUUGUGCUUUCUCUUUAAGCUAUAUUUUCUUUUGAUUAUUAUUUUUGACUAUUUUUUUUCUUCUCUAUGGCAAUGUAUUUGGAUCAUGUUUCUCUGUGAAGCUUAGCACAUUGGUUGUCUGGCUUGAUCUUUUUACUAGCAAGAGGGUAAUUACCGGAAGCAGUUGGCAAGACAAGCAGUCGAUGGAUCUCAAAGCGUUGAUCCUGAAGGAAGGUAACUACUCAAAGAUAUGCAGAUAUUCAUGUUGGAGCAGUUAAGUUUGCAAGGAUCUGCUGUUGGAGGGCAUGGUAUGUGCUCUCAAGAAGUUCUUUAUGAUCUGGUGACAUCUUUUGGCCUAUUGAGGAACUAGACAUGAUUUAUAUAGCGAAGUUAAGCAUAUGGAUGACAACUUCCUCUCAUACCUCUUUUGGCCUAUUGAGGAACUGGACAUGAUUUAUAUACCGAAGUUAAGUGUAUGGAUGACAACUUCCUCUCAUACAUGUUAUCUGUAUAUUUUAUAUACAUGGCUUUUGUGUUCUGUCAUGUGCGUUCCUACUGCAGACUUUUCUAGGAAAUUCACCAUGGGAAUUUAAAUAAUGGUUCCCUGCCCAUCAGUUUACUUUCUUGCAUUUUAUAGGCCACACUUUUCCUAUUUUUUUAAAGAAGUGAACUCAUUCCUAAACUUCCGCCGUAUAUACAUUAACACUGGGAUACUGUACCAAUCCAGCAAUACUAAAAAACUAUGAAUUGUGUGUCAGUGUAGUACUAUAUCCCACUGAUGAUGCUUCUCUGUAACACGUUUAUCUAUUUGGUUGCAUGCCUUGAAGGAGUAGUAUAUUGAGCACCCUGAGAUAAUCAUCAAGAAGUUUGGUGGAAUUUUAAAUGAUUUAUUAAGCGACCUUUUAUGAUUGACCAUUGUACGAGAGCAUGUUUUAGUACUACUUGACCGAGUUAGAAUGUAUAUAUUUUCAACUAAAACCAAUUUUUUCAAAAGGCAAAAUAUUUUCUGCAUGAUCACAUAUCAUGAUUAUCUCCAUGAAGAAUGCUUUAGACAGUACAAUAAUGAAAAUAAGCAUUUUUGGCCUUCGAAACAUAUACUAUUGUUGGGACAUCUGAUUGGACCUUUCUAUGUAGAAAAUGAGAAGUGCUAAGUGUACAGAAACCUGCACUUCAUAUUUCUUACAUGCAUGAUUUAUCGUCUAUGAUACUCUUUUAUAUUGCUUACUUGCGUGAUUUGUCUGAUUGCCAGUAGAAAUAUUUAUGUUAGCAUGUCAGUUUGCUAACUUAAUACCUUCCAUCUUAUACAUUGAUAAUGCUUUGAAGACACCGACAAGAAUAACUAAAUUAAAUUGUGCCUGAACAUGUCAAUUGCAAUGGCAGGUUCUCACCUUUCAACGCAGGAUCUCAUUUAAAUCCUAAUUUUGGAUGUCCCGGUGGUUGGCUGAUGGAGAGUGUUGCACAACCGCUUAUUUAAUGAUCAGUAGUGCAGCUCACGAUUUGAUUUAAUUAGCGUUUUCUUAGUGAAAAAUAUGAAGACAAAUUUCUAAAGAACUUUAGGGUAUCUUCGAAAGAAUGUGCUAGAUUUUGGUCCUAUUAUAUUUUCUCAAUUCCUAUGUCAUCUCUCACAUGGCUAUGUGGUCUCCCCGGUUUUGUCUUUACAUUAUAUCUAUGUUGUUCUACUGCUACCCCCUCACUACAGAAAGUAAUUUUUAUAUCAGCUUUGCUCUCGUGUGUGUGCAAGGAUUCCAUUCAGGUAUGAAAAAUACCACCCCUCAUGAAGUUACUUCUUUUCAGAGAGAGAAUGAUCAUUGGUUUUUAUAUGGAUUCAGUGCACAUAAAUAAUUAGCUCGCAUUUUAAGUUUGGUUUUAGAAUUAGCUUUCCAGUUCUGUACAUGUUUUCCUCGCUGAUGAUGGAUUUCUUCUUGUAAGAUGAAUUGGUAACUUUAGCACCAAAUAUGAAGUUAUUUGGACAAAGAAAUGCUUCCUUCCUCUUUGCUAUUUUCUCUCUUUAGUGUUGCUUUUUUUAGAACACACUUUAGUGUUGCUUUGAUGUUCCUUUGUCACUGUUCAAUAUUCUGCCUUGUGUGCCUCUGUCUUGGUUUACGCUCCAUAUGGCUACCUAUGUAUAUAUAUGUAGGUUUUGUUUGAACUAUACUCAAACCGUGCAGAUGUUUCCAUAUUCUAGCCUUCAUCUUUUUAACUCGUGACUUUGUUAGAUAGUUGAAUAUCAUUGGCCUCUGUCGGCAUUCUAUUUUUGCAGUUUGAAAUGAGUAUUGGUCCAUUGAUAUUAAACUUCACAAUAGGUGGUGGCAUCUCCAGGAAAAAGUAGUGGCAGAUAUGCUGGACAUUUCUUUUCUGCUGUCCUCAACACAUUUUUUAGUAACGGAGAGGAUUAGUCACCUUUGGUGUUGCAGGUGUUCAAGACCUAGCAUGGCUGGGCCAACCGGUCCUUUGUGUUUGAAGAUCCCUGACACCCCAUGCUACCAGCUGGGCAUCUUCUUCCUGAGCCAUGUCCGGAACCAGACCACCAGGGGCACCCUGAGUCAGUACUCGAGGCAUGUUGUCAGGUCGGAGGGGUACAACCAGGCUAGCUGCCGUGUGUGUCCACGGUUCAUACAGUCAAGGUGUUCGCUCAUCUCCCAAGAUGAGCCAGAACGAGCAUGACAAGAGGAACUCCCUUUAUUUUUCAUUCCUUGAUAAAUGGUGUUGUAUGUUGGUUAAAGACUGUUUUUCUUCUUUAAUUAUGAAACCUCAAACAAUAGCAAGAUAUAAGAUUUUUGUUUGUUUUGCAAUCAAAGCUUCCAUCGAAUAAUUUAUUAGAAUAUGAUCCAUCUUAGUCAGA